AUUUAGGUGAUGAACAAAGAUGGUUUAAAAGGAUAAUUCAGUAGGAGAAAAUAAACUCUAGGUCCUUCUACUAUUGAUGGUGAAGAAAUGAUGGCCCUAAAUUAAGCAAGUCUUCAUAAAAUUGGUACCAAUAUUUGCAAUGAUGCACUUUGUUAAACUAUUUAUUUUUAUUGAAUUUCCUCUUGUGGCAAUAAUGAAUUCAUAUUUCAUUUUAAUGUGAAAUUAUGGCAUACAUCUAACAUGCAUUCGUAUGUGUAGUAUUUGACGUUAUUUUUAGUCACUUAGUUUUAGCCCUAGGCUUUUAGAAAUCCUGGCUCCGCCUCUGCCCCUGCUCUCACAUGGCGGCGACCUGUGUCGGAUCUGGAACAACAACUCUCAGCGGCAGAGAAGAAAAAACGUGGGGGUGUUGUUAUAACACCUCGGAUGUAACUUUUCCAAUUUGUAUUCCAACUUUUGCCGUUUUCGGCGUUAAGUUAAUUUAUUUCCUCGGGUUCGGGUUU